rnacentral:tRNA from 1 species
UGGGGUAUCGCCAAGCGGUAAGGCACCGGUUUUUGAUACCGGCAUUCCCUGGUUCGAAUCCAGUGCACCCCAGCCA